rnacentral:rRNA from 1 species
UACGAAGGGGGCUAGCGUUGCUCGGAUUGACUGGGCGUAAAGGGCGCGUAGGCGGUUCGUACAGUCAGACGUGAAAUUCCUGGGCUCAACCUGGGGGCUGCGUUUGAUACGUGCGGACUUGAGUGCGGAAGAGGGUCGUGGAAUUCCCAGUGUAGAGGUGAAAUUCGUAGAUAUUGGGAAGAACACCGGUGGCGAAGGCGGCGACCUGGUCCGAUACUGACGCUGAGGAGCGAAAGCGUGGGGAGCAAACGGG